AGCGAACGCUGGCGGCAGGCUUAACACAUGCAAGUCGAACGGGCGUAGCAAUACGUCAGUGGCAGACGGGUGAGUAACGCGUGGGAACGUACCUUUUGGUUCGGAACAACCCAGGGAAACUUGGGCUAAUACCGGAUAAGCCCUUACGGGGAAAGAUUUAUCGCCGAAAGAUCGGCCCGCGUCUGAUUAGCUAGUUGGUGUGGUAACGGCGCACCAAGGCGACGAUCAGUAGCUGGUCUGAGAGGAUGAUCAGCCACAUUGGGACUGAGACACGGCCCAAACUCCUACGGGAGGCAGCAGUGGGGAAUAUUGGACAAUGGGCGCAAGCCUGAUCCAGCCAUGCCGCGUGGAUGAUGAAGGCCCUAGGGUUGUAAAGUCCUUUUAACGGGAAGAUAAUGACGGUACCCGUAGAAUAAGCCCCGGCUAACUUCGUGCCAGCAGCAGCCGCAGU
rnacentral:rRNA from 1 species